GAUGAAGAACGUAGCGAAAUGCGAUACGUAAUGUGAAUUGCAGAAUUCAGUGAAUCAUCGAAUCUUUGAACGCAUAUUGCGCUCUUUGGUAUUCCGAAGAGCAUGCUUGUUUGAGUAUCAGUAAACACCUCAAAGCUUUUGGAUUUUUUAAUCGAAAAGCUUUGGACUUGAGCAAUCCCAACACCAAUCUUUUUGAGAUCGGUGGCGGGUUGCUUGAAAUGCAGGUGCAGCUGGACAUUCUCCUGAGCUAAAAGCAUAUUCAUUUAGUCCCGUCAAACGGAUUAUUACUUUUGCUGCAGCUAACAUAAAGGGAGUUUGACCGUAUUGGCUGACUGAUGCAGGAUUUCACAAGGGCCGGCAACGAUUCUUGUUAAACUCGAUCUCAAAUCAAGUAAGACUACCCGCUGAACUUAAGCAUAUCAAUAAGCGGAGGA
rnacentral:misc_RNA from 1 species